rnacentral:rRNA from 1 species
GAUGAACGCUAGCUAAAGGCUUAACACAUGCAAGUCGAGAGACCGGCGCACGUGUGAGUAACACGUAUCCAACCUGCCCUUUACUCGGGGAUAGCCUUUCGAAAGAAAGAUUAAUACCCGAUCUAAAGGAUGGGGAUGCGUUCCAUUAGGUUGUGGGUGAGGUAACGGCUCACCAAGCCUUCGCUGGAUAGGGGUUCUGAGAGGAAGUUCCCCCACAGUGGAACUGAGAUACGUUCGAAACUGCUACGGGAGGGAGCAGUGAGGAAUAUUGGGCAAGGGGCGCUAGCCUGAACCAGCCAAGUGGCGGUAAGGAUGUGGGUUGAUGGGGCGUAAACUGCUUUUAGAGAAGAAUAGGUAUUAUAUGAAUAAGGAUCGGCUAACUCCGUGCCAGCAGCCGCGGUAAUAC